rnacentral:rRNA from 1 species
ACAAGCGGUGGAGCAUGUGGUUUAAUUCGAUGCAACGCGAAGAACCUUACCUGGUCUUGACAUCCACAGAACUUUCCAGAGAUGGAUUGGUGCCUUCGGGAACUGUGAGACAGGUGCUGCAUGGCUGUCGUCAGCUCGUGUUGUGAAAUGUUGGGUUAAGUCCCGCAACGAGCGCAACCCUUAUCUUUUGUUGCCAGCGGUCCGGCCGGGAACUCAAAGGAGACUGCCAGUGAUAAACUGGAGGAAGGUGGGGAUGACGUCAAGUCAUCAUGGCCCUUACGACCAGGGCUACACACGUGCUACAAUGGCGCAUACAAAGAGAAGCGACCUCGCGAGAGCAAGCGGACCUCAUAAAGUGCGUCGUAGUCCGGAUUGGAGUCUGCAACUCGACUCCAUGAAGUCGGAAUCGCUAGUAAUCGUGGAUCAGAAUGCCACGGUGAAUACGUUCCCGGGCCUUGUACACACCGCCCGUCACACCAUGGGAGUGGGUUGCAAAAGAAGUAGGUAGCUUAACCUUCGGGAGGGCGCUUACCACUUUGUGAUUCAUGACUGGGGUGAAGUCGUAACAAGGUAGCCGUAAAUCUCUGGAAGAUCCGCGCG